GACGAACGCUGGCGGCGUGCCUAAUACAUGCAAGUCGAGCGGACGUUUGAUUGGUGCUUGCACCGAUUAAACGUUAGCGGCGGACGGGUGAGUAACACGUGGGCAACCUGCCCUGUAGAUUGGGAUAACUCCGGGAAACCGGGGCUAAUACCGAAUAAUACUUUUUAACUCCUGUUAGAAAGUUGAAAGAUGGUUCUGCUAUCACUACAGGAUGGGCCCGAGGCGCAUUAGCUAGUUGGUGAGGUAACGGCUCACCAAGGCAACGAUGCGUAGCCGACCUGAGAGGGUGAUCGGCCACACUGGGACUGAGACACGGCCCAGACUCCUACGGGAGGCAGCAGUAGGGAAUCUUCCACAAUGGGCGAAAGCCUGAUGGAGCAACGCCGCGUGAGUGAAGAAGGAUUUCGGUUCGUAAAACUCUGUUGUAAGGGAAGAACAAGUAGCGUAGUAACUGGCGCUACCUUGACGGUACCUUAUUAGAAAGCCACGGCUAACUACGUGCCAGCCGCCGCCGUAAAAC
rnacentral:rRNA from 1 species